rnacentral:rRNA from 1 species
AGUGAACGCUGGCGGCAGGCCUAACACAUGCAAGUCGAACGGCAGCACAGGAGAGCUUGCUCUCUGGGUGGCGAGUGGCGGACGGGUGAGGAUAGCGUCGGAAUCUGCCUAUUUGUGGGGGAUAACCUCGGGAAACCGGGACUAAUACCGCAUACGACCUACGGGUGAAAGCGGAGGACCUUCGGGCUUCGGGCAGAUAGAUGAGCCGACGUCGGAUUAGCUAGUUGGCGGGGUAAUGGCCCACCAAGGCGACGUUCCGUAGCUGGUCUGAGAGGAUGAUCAGCCACACUGGAACUGAGACACGGUCCAGACUCCUACGGGAGGCAGCAGUGGGGAAUAUUGGACAAUGGGCGCAAGCCUGAUCCAGCCAUGCCACGUGGGUGAAGAAGGCCUUCGGGUUGUAAAGCCCUUUUGUUGGGAAAGAAAAGCAGCCGGUUAAUACCCGGUUGUCAUGACGGUACCCAAAGAAUAAGCACCGGCUAACUUCGUGCCAGCCGCCGCAGUAA